ensembl:lncRNA
GGCCUUGAAAGCUACAUAUAAAGGAUGUCAGAGCCCCCACCAACACAGUCUCUCUCCAUUAAGAGUUCACAACCUUCUGAGGUCCAAUCUCACACCAAGUUACCUUGUUACACUACGUUGUGACAUUUUGCUUUUUCUGAACUCUGAAGAUGUUUAUUUCCACUUUGUGAAUAAGAAAAUAUACCAGAAUGACUUGGAGAUAAUUUGGUACAACUCUUAUGUUCUGUUUGGCUCAAGUCCAUCCCAAACCAAGAAAUCCAUUCAUCACUCUAAUAUACUCCUUAUGGAUAAAUUAUCUCAGCACACAAACCCCAGGACUGUUUCACUGCUCUUGGCUAACUAACAUUGGACUCGUUGACACAAUCUGCUAAAGAGAGAGAAUUUGGGUGUGCUGAGGACAGGCUAGAAAGACAAGAAAGCGUGCAGCCGCAAGUCAGACUCUUUUCCUGACCUCACCCCUCAGA